ensembl:snoRNA
UGAACGUUUGGUGGCAACUGGUGGCAUAUAUGUCUGGAUGGUGAAUAAUAUGUGCCUGGGAGUCUGAGGUCCAA